rnacentral:rRNA from 1 species
UUAAGUGACGAUAGCCUAGGAGAUACACCUGUACCCAUGCCGAACACAGCAGUUAAGCCCUAGAACGCCUGAAGUAGUUGGGGGUUGCCCCCUGUUAGAUACGGUAGUCGCUUAG